UAUUAUUAUUAUUAUUAUUAUUAUUAUUAUUAGUACAGUAGAGUCUCACUAAUCCAAGCCUCGCUUAUCCAAGCCUCUGGAUAAUCCAAGCCAUUUUUGUAGUCAAUGUUUCCAAUAUAUCGUGAUAUUUUGGUGCUAAAUUCGUAAAUACAGUAAUUACAACAUAACAUUACUGCGUAUUGAACUACUUUUUCUGUCAAAUUUGUUGUAUAACAUCAAGUUUUGGUGCUUAAUUUGUAAAAUCGUAAACUAAUUUGAUGUUUAAUAGGCUUUUCCUUGAUCAGUCCUUAUAAUCCAAGAUAUUCGCUUAUCCAAGCUUCUGCCGGCCCGUUUAGCUUGGAUUAGUGAGACUCUACUGUAGUAGUAGUAUUACCCUGUUUCCCCUAAAAUAAGACAUCCCCAGAAAAUAAGACCUAGUAGAGGUUUUGCUGAAUUGCUAAAUAUAAGGCCUCCCCUGAAAGUAAGACCUAGCAAAGUUUUUGUUUGGAAGCAUGCCCAACAAACAGAACACCAGAGCAUGCAGGAUUGGUAAAUGUACGUACCAUAGAGUGUUGUACAUGGAAAUAAUGGUAGUAACAAGAAAUUCUUCAUAGGAUUCACAGUUUGUCUGGUUAUGCUGGUUUGUGAUGGACUACUGUACAGUAUAUAAUAAAUGUUCUUUUUUUUUGUUCAACAAUAAAUGUGAAUUCUUCUUCAUGGAAAAGUAAGACAUCCCUGAAAAUAAGACCUAGAGCAUCUUUGGGAGCAAAAAUUAAUAUAAGACACUGUCUUAUUUUUGGGGAAACAUGGUAGUAUUGAGAGGCUGGGUGGCCGUUUGUUGGGAGUGCUUGGCUUGUGUCCUGCAUGGCAGAAUUGGGUUGGGCUGGAUGGCUUUUAGGGGUGUCUCCUAACUGUCUGAUGCUAUGAUUCGAUGUGUAUUAUCAUUGUGCAGAUAUUGGAUAGCCAUCUGUCAGGAGUGAUUGGAUUGUGUCCUCCUGCAUGAUAUAAGGAAGUUGAACUGGAUGAUCCUUAGGGGUAUCUGCUAACCUUAGGGCGGAACUUAGCCUUGUAACUGGCAGCAAUUGGAUAAAAAGAAUUAUUCCUCUCUCUCUAAUUAGGACUUUAUUUUUCUUUUCUUUUUGUUGUAUCAACCUAGAGCCGUGGAUGAUGGGUUGUGUUGUCAAAUUUCGAGGUUGGGGGGCCUGUAGUUUUGUUGUUUUGUCCGCUGCCCUGAUGCCAUCACUCUUUUAUAUAUAGAGACUAGCUGUGCCCGGCCACUCGUUGCUGUGGCGAAGUCUGGUGGUAUGGGAAAUAAAGUAUUGAGGAAUUGGUGGUAGUUAAGGUAAAGGGUAAAGGUUUUCCCCUGACAUUAAGUCCAUUAUAAAUGGGUUAUAUAGCUGUGAGGAAGGGCCUUGAGUCUACACUGCCAUAUAAUCCAGUUAAGAUCAGAUAAUCUGUAUUUUAUAGGCAGUGUGGAAGAGGCCUAAGUGAGGCCUAACUCUGCCUGUCCCCUGGGCUGAGUGGGUUGCUAGGAGACCAAGUGGGUGGAGCUUAGCCUUCUAACUGGCAGAAAUUGGAUAAAAAUAAUUAUUCCUCUCCCUCUAAUUAGGACUUUAUUUUUCUUUUUUUUUUGUUAUAUGAAUGUAGAGGCAUGGAUGAGGGGUUGUGCUGCCAAGUUUAGUGUUUCUGGGAUGUGUAGUUUUGUUGUUUUGUCCUAGGCCGACAUUUCAUUACCCUUUUAUAUAUAUAGAUUGUCCUCCCAACCCUGCUCUACGCCUGCAAAACGUGGACAUCACACCCAACUCCUGGAGCGUUUCCAUCAGCAUUGCCUCAGAAAAAUCCUGCCAAUCUCUUGGGAAGAUAGGCGGACAAAUGCCAGCGUGCCUGAGGAAGCAAAGACCACCAGCAUUGAGGUGAUGCUCCUACGCCAUCAACUCCGCUGGACUGGCCACAUUAUCUGCACAAUAAUCUCAGCGAGGAUACUUUUGGUGAAAAAUUGGAAAUCUGAAGAAACCCCCACUAAAGACCAAUGGAUAAAUAAAAUUAUAGAAAUAAGAGAUAUGGACAAUUUAACCUUUUGGAUGAAGAGUAAUUCUGGCAAGGCCAUGAACAAAACAAAUUGGGAAGAUUUUGAUGAGUACCUUAAAAAAGAAAAUGAUUGAAGAUAGAAGAAGCCAUAUUGGAAGAGAAGAACGGAAGUCACCCUACCGACCCCCUCCCCAUCCCCCAAACUUUAGGCAACUUUCUUUCCUUGGCCCUCCCACCCUCCCCACUCCCUACCCUCUCUCUCUUACCCACCCCUCCCCCCCUAUCUGUCUGUAAAGAAGUGUGUUUUUAUUUUGAUUUAUAGAUGUCAUGUUUAAUUUCGUUUUAAAAGUUAUGUUUAGCUAUGUUUAAAAAGGGUAAGUAUUAGUUACCAGUGCGUGGGGGAUGGUAACCACCUCAGCAUUCUGAGGCAGGUUACCAUAGUAACGAGGGCGGAGCCAACCGCCGUUUGAAGGAAAAGGAGGGAAUGUUUUAAAAACAGUUCAGUCUGUGAUUUUUAGUCACAGGGAAGACACUGGUUCCAAGUUAGGGAAACCAGGGAAACUCAGAUCUCUACUUGUGUCAGAUUAAGCAAGUUAGGUGACUUGUUUAGGUUCAAUUGUAGAGUCUGAGUAAUAAGGGGAAGUAAUCCCGGUUAGAUCCAAAGUGAUCAGGUUUAGACUGCUCAAGGAAAGGAGCAAGUAUUUGAAAGUGUAUUCAUCAUAAGUUAUAUUUGCAACCGUUAUCUAAGUGCCUUUAAAGAAGCAAUGCUGUAACCACUAAGCUCUGUGCCUGAAAUAAACUUGUUGUUUUCUUUCAAUA